UGCAAUAAUAUGGUUUCAAAUUUCACAUUGC
rnacentral:piRNA from 1 species